rnacentral:pre_miRNA from 1 species
AAUACUUAUCGCUUUGAGUUUUUGUUUGUAAAAUUUGAUCAUUCGUCUUAUUUAAAAAAUUAUAAAAUUAUUAUUUAUUUUAUAUGUGACUUGCUUUAUUAUCAAAAUGUACUUUAGUAUGACUUAUCAUUUUCUAUAUUUACACUAAUUUUUUAAAUAAGACGGAUGAUCAAACGUUGCAAGUAAAAAGUUAGAGCGACAGCUAAU